GUGAGGAAUAUUGGUCAAUGGGCGGGAGCCUGAACCAGCCAAGUCGCGUGAGGGAAGAAGGAUCUAUGGUUCGUAAACUUCUUUUGCAGGGGAAUAAAGUGCAGGACGUGUCCUGUUUUGUAUGUACCCUGAGAAUAAGGAUCGGCUAACUCCGUGCCAGCAGCCGCGGUAAUACGGAGGAUCCGAGCGUUAUCCGGAUUUAUUGGGUUUAAAGGGUGCGUAGGUGGUUUGAUAAGUCAGCGGUGAAAGUUUGCAGCUUAACUGUAAAAAUGCCGUUGAAACUGUCGGACUUGAGUGUAAAUGAGGUAGGCGGAAUGCGUGGUGUAGCGGUGAAAUGCAUAGAUAUCACGCAGAACUCCGAUUGCGAAGGCAGCUUACUAAGCUACAACUGACACUGAAGCACGAAAGCGUGGGGAUCAAACAGGAUUAGAAACCCCGGUAGUCC
rnacentral:rRNA from 1 species